GCCGACAACUCCCUUAAUAUCUGAACCCAAAGACUCAUCGGCUCCACGUCUCCUCACCUUUUCUGAAAAAUCUCCUUCUUUUGCCAACCCAAAAUGACAUCAGGAUGUCUUCUCCUAUGCGAGAUCAUACUCUCGAUCCUCCUACCACCUCUCGGCGUCUGCCUUCGUCACGGUUGCUGCACGGUGGAGGUCCUUAUAUGUUUGGUAUUGACUAUUCUGGGUUAUCUUCCCGGGAUCAUUUACGCCCUCUAUACCAUCCUUUGUGUCAAUCCAGAUAGUGAUGGUGACCGCUACGAGGCGCUUGCCUAAGAAGUAUGGUUCUGUUCUUUGUAUAAUCUGUCUUUGAUGUACUUUUCCCUAAACCUAAAGCUUCCGAUUUCAUGUGUUUGUUUCUGAAUCUGUUUAAAGUUUGAUCUUGAAGUAGUUGCUUGCAUAAUCCACCAGUUUCAGUUUUUGAAUGUGUUAAAAGAGUAUUUAUGUAUUUCAGUUCUUGCCAAAUUAUGAACUUGUUGAUGGCUGUUUAGAAGUUCA